rnacentral:rRNA from 1 species
AACGCUAGCUACAGGCUUAACACAUGCAAGUCGAGGGGAAACGACAUCGUAAGCUUGCUUUUGAUGGGCGUCGACCGGCGCACGGGUGAGUAACGCGUAUCCAACCUGCCCGUCACUUGGGGAUAACCUUGCGAAAGUAAGACUAAUACCCGAUGAUAUCCCUAGAAGACAUCUGAAAGGGAUUAAAGAUUUAUCGGUGAUGGAUGGGGAUGCGUCUGAUUAGCUUGUUGGCGGGGUAACGGCCCACCAAGGCAACGAUCAGUAGGGGUUCUGAGAGGAAGGUCCCCCACAUUGGAACUGAGACACGGUCCAAACUCCUACGGGAGGCAGCAGUGAGGAAUAUUGGUCAAUGGGCGAGAGCCUGAACCAGCCAAGUAGCGUGCAGGACGACGGCCCUAUGGGUUGUAAACUGCUUUUAUAAGGGAAUAAAGUGAGUCUCGUGAGACUUUUUGCAUGUACCUUAUGAAUAAGGACCGGCUAAUUCCGUGCCAGCAGCCGCGGUAAUACGGAAGGUCCGGGCGUUAUCCGGAUUUAUUGGGUUUAAAGGGAGCGUAGGCCGGAGAUUAAGCGUGUUGUGAAAUGUAGACGCUCAACGUCUGCACUGCAGCGCGAACUGGUUUCCUUGAGUACGCACAAAGUGGGCGGAAUUCGUGGUGUAGCGGUGAAAUGCUUAGAUAUCACGAAGAACUCCGAUUG